GAUGAACGCUGGCGGCGUGCCUAAUACAUGCAAGUCGAGCGAACAGACGAGGAGCUUGCUCCUCUGACGUUAGCGGCGGACGGGUGAGUAACACGUGGAUAACCUACCUAUAAGACUGGGAUAACUUCGGGAAACCGGAGCUAAUACCGGAUAAUAUAUUGAACCGCAUGGUUCAAUAGUGAAAGACGGUUUUGCUGUCACUUAUGGAUGGAUCCGCGCCGCAUUAGCUAGUUGGUAAGGUAACGGCUUACCAAGGCAACGAUGCGUAGCCGACCUGAGAGGGUGAUCGGCCACACUGGAACUGAGACACGGUCCAGACUCCUACGGGAGGCAGCAGUAGGGAAUCUUCCGCAAUGGGCGAAAGCCUGACGGAGCAACGCCGCGUGAGUGAUGAAGGUCUUCGGAUCGUAAAACUCUGUUAUUAGGGAAGAACAAAUGUGUAAGUAACUAUGCACGUCUUGACGGUACCUAAUCAGAAAGCCACGGCGAACUACGU
rnacentral:rRNA from 1 species